CUACUAUAGGCACUACCAAUGGCAUAAUUUGACAACAGGCAUUUAUUGAAGGCCUCAAUAAGAAAAAAUAUAAUUAUACUCAAUGAACAUGUGAAUUCACUUCUUCUACUGCCAUUAACUAUAUGGAAGUUCAUUCAAUUAUGGUAAAUUCAAACAUAUUCAACAAAUGUCUUUUCUUAAAAUUAAGCGAUGGUUAUCUAUUUUAACUAGAUUUUCAUGAGAUAUUUAUUUAGAUGACUUUUCAGUCUAUUUUGUAAUUUUGUUAAUACCAGACUUGCCUGUAUGGAAUGCAAGAUUA
rnacentral:lncRNA from 1 species